rnacentral:rRNA from 1 species
UAAGCGUGCGCAGGCGGUUUUGUAAGUCUGAUGUGAAAUCCCCGGGCUCAACCUGGGAAUUGCAUUGGAGACUGCAAGGCUAGAAUCUGGCAGAGGGGGGUAGAAUUCCACGUGUAGCAGUGAAAUGCGUAGAUAUGUGGAGGAACACCGAUGGCGAAGGCAGCCCCCUGGGUCAAGAUUGACGCUCAUGCACGAAAGCGUGGGGAGCAAACAGGAUUAGAUACCCUGGU